rnacentral:rRNA from 1 species
AACGCGAAGAACCUUACCAGGUCUUGACAUCCCCCUGAAUCACCUAGAGAUAGGUGCGGCCUUCGGGACAGGGGAGGACAGGUGGUGCAUGGUUGUCGUCAGCUCGUGUCGUGAGAUGUUGGGUUAAGUCCCGCAACGAGCGCAACCCUUGAAUUUAGUUGCCAGCACUAUGGGUGGGCACUCUAAAUUGACUGCCGGUGACAAACCGGAGGAAGGCGGGGAUGACGUCAAAUCAUCAUGCCCCUUAUGACCUGGGCUACACACGUACUACAAUGGCCGGUACAACGGGCCGCGAAGCCGCGAGGCGGAGCCAAUCCUAAAAAGCCGGUCUCAGUUCGGAUUGCAGGCUGCAACUCGCCUGCAUGAAGUCGGAAUUGCUAGUAAUCGCGGAUCAGCAUGCCGCGGUGAAUACGUUCCCGGGCCUUGUACACACCGUAGUAC